CCUACGGGAGGCUGCAGUGGGGAAUAUUGGACAAUGGGGGGAACCCUGAUCCAGCGACGCCGCGUGAGUGAAGAAGUAUUUCGGUAUGUAAAGCUCUAUCAGCAGGGAAGAAAAUGACGGUACCUGAGUAAGAAGCCCCGGCUAACUACGUGCCAGCAGCCGCGGUAAUACGUAGGGGGCAAGCGUUAUCCGGAUUUACUGGGUGUAAAGGGAGCGUAGACGGCAGUGCAAGUCUGGAGUGAAAGGCGGGGGCUCAACCCCCGGACUGCUCUGGAAACUGUACGGCUGGAGUGCAGGAGAGGUAAGUGGAAUUCCUAGUGUAGCGGUGAAAUGCGUAGAUAUUAGGAGGAACACCAGUGGCGAAGGCGGCUUACUGGACUGUAACUGACGUUGAGGCUCGAAAGCGUGGGGAGCAAACAGGAUUAGAUACCCUGGUAGUC
rnacentral:rRNA from 1 species